rnacentral:SRP_RNA from 1 species
GCCAGGCGCAGUGGCACAUGCCUAUAGUCCCAGCUACUCGGGAGGCUAGAGGCAGGAGGAUCCCUUGAGUCCAGGAGUUCUGGGCUAUAGUGCGCUAUGCGGAUCAGGUGUCCGCAUUAAGUUUGGCAUCAAUAUGGUGACCUCCCAGGAGUGUGGGACCACCAGGUUGGCUAAGGAGGGUUGAACCCACCCAGGUCGGAAACGGAGCAGGUCAAAACUCCCGUGCUGAUCAAAGCAUGCCAAGCUUACUCUUACCUGACAAAAUUUAAAUUUAACAUCCUUC